GGUUAAGCGACUAAGCGUACACGGUGGAUGCCCUGGCAGUCAGAGGCGAUGAAGGACGUGCUAAUCUGCGAUAAGCGUCGGUAAGGUGAUAUGAACCGUUAUAACCGGCGAUUUCCGAAUGGGGAAACCCAGUGUGAUUCGUCACACUAUCAUUAACUGAAUCCAUAGGUUAAUGAGGCGAACCGGGGGAACUGAAACAUCUAAGUACCCCGAGGAAAAGAAAUCAACCGAGAUUCCCCCAGUAGCGGCGAGCGAACGGGGAGCAGCCCAGAGCCUGAAUCAGUGUGUGUGUUAGUGGAAGCGUCUGGAAAGGCGUGCGAUACAGGGUGACAGCCCCGUACACAAAAAUGCACAUACUGUGAGCUCGAUGAGUAGGGCGGGACACGUGGUAUCCUGUCUGAAUAUGGGGGGACCAUCCUCCAAGGCUAAAUACUCCUGACUGACCGAUAGUGAACCAGUACCGUGAGGGAAAGGCGAAAAGAACCCCGGCGAGGGGAGUGAAAAAGAACCUGAAACCGUGUACGUACAAGCAGUGGGAGCACGCUUAGGCGUGUGACUGCGUACCUUUUGUAUAAUGGGUCAGCGACUUAUAUUCUGUAGCAAGGUUAACCGAAUAGGGGAGCCGAAGGGAAACCGAGUCUUAACUGGGCGUUAAGUUGCAGGGUAUAGACCCGAAACCCGGUGAUCUAGCCAUGGGCAGGUUGAAGGUUGGGUAACACUAACUGGAGGACCGAACCGACUAAUGUUGAAAAAUUAGCGGAUGACUUGUGGCUGGGGGUGAAAGGCCAAUCAAACCGGGAGAUAGCUGGUUCUCCCCGAAAGCUAUUUAGGUAGCGCCUCGUGAAUUCAUCUCCGGGGGUAGAGCACUGUUUCGGCAAGGGGGUCAUCCCGACUUACCAACCCGAUGCAAACUGCGAAUACCGGAGAAUGUUAUUACGGGAGACACACGGCGGGUGCUAACGUCCGUCGUGAAGAGGGAAACAACCCAGACCGCCAGCUAAGGUCCCAAAGUCAUGGUUAAGUGGGAAACGAUGUGGGAAGGCCCAGACAGCCAGGAUGUUGGCUUAGAAGCAGCCAUCAUUUAAAGAAAGCGUAAUAGCUCACUGGUCGAGUCGGCCUGCGCGGAAGAUGUAACGGGGCUAAACCAUGCACCGAAGCUGCGGCAGCGACGCUUAUGCGUUGUUGGGUAGGGGAGCGUUCUGUAAGCCUGUGAAGGUGUGCUGUGAGGUAUGCUGGAGGUAUCAGAAGUGCGAAUGCUGACAUAAGUAACGAUAAAGCGGGUGAAAAGCCCGCUCGCCGGAAGACCAAGGGUUCCUGUCCAACGUUAAUCGGGGCAGGGUGAGUCGACCCCUAAGGCGAGGCCGAAAGGCGUAGUCGAUGGGAAACAGGUUAAUAUUCCUGUACUUGGUGUUACUGCGAAGGGGGGACGGAGAAGGCUAUGUUGGCCGGGCGACGGUUGUCCCGGUUUAAGCGUGUAGGCUGGUUUUCCAGGCAAAUCCGGAAAAUCAAGGCCGAGGCGUGAUGACGAGGCACUACGGUGCUGAAGCAACAAAUGCCCUGCUUCCAGGAAAAGCCUCUAAGCAUCAGGUAACAUCAAAUCGUACCCCAAACCGACACAGGUGGUCAGGUAGAGAAUACCAAGGCGCUUGAGAGAACUCGGGUGAAGGAACUAGGCAAAAUGGUGCCGUAACUUCGGGAGAAGGCACGCUGAUACGUAGGUGAAGCGACUUGCUCGUGGAGCUGAAAUCAGUCGAAGAUACCAGCUGGCUGCAACUGUUUAUUAAAAACACAGCACUGUGCAAACACGAAAGUGGACGUAUACGGUGUGACGCCUGCCCGGUGCCGGAAGGUUAAUUGAUGGGGUUAGCGCAAGCGAAGCUCUUGAUCGAAGCCCCGGUAAACGGCGGCCGUAACUAUAACGGUCCUAAGGUAGCGAAAUUCCUUGUCGGGUAAGUUCCGACCUG
rnacentral:rRNA from 1 species